rnacentral:rRNA from 1 species
UACGAAGGGGGCUAGCGUUGUUCGGAAUCACUGGGCGUAAAGCGCACGUAGGCGGAUUUUUAAGUCAGGGGUGAAAUCCCGGGGCUCAACCUCGGAACUGCCUUUGAUACUGGAGAUCUUGAGUCCGGAAGAGGUAAGUGGAACUGCGAGUGUAGAGGUGAAAUUCGUAGAUAUUGGGAAGAACACCGGUGGCGAAGGCGGCCACCUGGUCCGGCACUGACGCUGAGGCGCGAAAGCGUGGGGAGCAAACAGG